UGCACAUGAUGCCAUUCUCUCACGAUGGUCUUCCAAGUCUCAUGGUGAAGGGGCUUUGACGACAAUGCCACAUGGCUUUGCUGAUGCCCAGUG
rfam:Podiceps cristatus contig38269, whole genome shotgun sequence.